UGGGGAAUCUUGCGCAAUGGGCGAAAGCCUGACGCAGCGACGCCGCGUGAGUGGUGAAGGCCUUCGGGUUGUAAAGCUCUGUGGGGAGAGACGAAUAAGUGCAAGCUAAUACCUUGCAUGAUGACGGUAUCUCCUUAGCAAGCACCGGCUAACUCUGUGCCAGCAGCCGCGGUAAGACAGAGGGUGCAAACGUUGUUCGGAAUUACUGGGCGUAAAGCGAGUGUAGGCGGUUUCCUAAGUCAGGUGUGAAAGCCCCGGGCUCAACCCGGGGAGUGCACUUGAAACUGGGAGGCUAGAGUACUGGAGAGGUUGGUGGAAUUCUCGGUGUAGAGGUGAAAUUCGUAGAUAUCGAGAGGAACACCGGUGGCGAAGGCGGCCAACUGAACAGAUACUGACGCUGAGACUCGAAAGCGUGGGGAGCAAACA
rnacentral:rRNA from 1 species